GUCUCUGUAGUACAAUGGAUAGUGCGUUGGACUCCUAAUCCAAAAGAAUUGAGUUCGAAUCCCACCUGGGAUA